rnacentral:rRNA from 1 species
AUACGUAGGUGGCAAGCGUUGUCCGGAUUUAUUGGGCGUAAAGCGAGCGCAGGCGGAAUGAUAAGUCUGAUGUGAAAGCCCACGGCUCAACCGUGGAACUGCAUCGGAAACUGUCAUUCUUGAGUGCAGAAGAGGAGAGUGGAACUCCAUGUGUAGAGGUGGAAUGCGUAGAUAUAUGGAAGAACACCAGUGGCGAAGGCGGCUCUCUGGUCUGCAACUGACGCUGAGGCUCGAAAGCAUGGGUAGCGAACAGGAUUAGAUACCCUGGUAGUCCAUGCCGUAAACGAUGAGCGCUAGGUGUUGGGGACUUUCCGGUCCUCAGUGCCGCAGCAAACGCAUUAAGCGCUCCGCCUGGGGAGUACGACCGCAAGGUUGAA